AUACCAACCUGGCGUCGGGAUACCGUGUUUAUGCAGUCGGUUCCCCCGGGAUGCGGCUGCUCCCUUGAACUGCGGAGUGGUUGACCCUUGCGAUUUUUGAUUUAUUUAAUGUAUUUUUUAUGCAUUAUUUUUAUAUUUAAUAAGUUUCACUUUACC
rnacentral:snRNA from 9 species